rnacentral:rRNA from 1 species
GAACAACGCUGGCGGCGUGUCUUAAGCAUGCAAGUCGAGCGGCAAGGAAGUGCUUGCACUUCCCCAGAGCGGCGGACUGGUGAGUAACGCGUGGGUGAUCUACCUCGGGGUUGGGGAUAGCCAUUAGAAAUAGUGGGUAAUACCGAAUACGCUUCCAGGGCUACGGCCGUGGAAGGAAAGGCGCUACGGCGCCGACCUGAGAUGAGCCCGCGUCCCAUUAGCUAGUUGGUGAGGUAACGGCCCACCAAGGCGAUGAUGGGUAGGCGGCCUGAGAGGGUGUACGCCCACAUUGGGACUGAGAUACGGCCCAAACUCCUACGGGAGGCAGCAGCUAAGAAUAUUCCGCAAUGGACGAAAGUCUGACGGAGCGACGCCGCGUGGAUGAUGAAGGCCGGAAGGUUGUAAAAUCCUUUUGUCGGGGAAGAAUAAGCGUGGGAGGGAAUGCCCGCGUGAUGACAUGAACCGGCGAAUAAGCCCCGGCUAACUACGUG